GAUGAACGCUGGCGGCGUGCCUAAUACAUGCAAGUCGAGCGAACAGACGAGGAGCUUGCUCCUCUGACGUUAGCGGCGGACGGGUGAGUAACACGUGGAUAACCUACCUAUAAGACUGGGAUAACUUCGGGAAACCGGAGCUAAUACCGGAUAAUAUAUUGAACCGCAUGGUUCAAUAGUGAAAGACGGUUUUGCUGUCACUUAUAGAUGGAUCCGCGCCGCAUUAGCUAGUUGGUAAGGUAACGGCUUACCAAGUCGACGAUGCGUAGCCGACCUGAGAGGGUGAUCGGCCACACUGGAACUGAGACACGGUCCAGACUCCUACGGGAGGCAGCAGUAGGGAAUCUUCCGCAAUGGGCGAAAGCCUGACGGAGCAACGCCGCGUGAGUGAUGAAGGUCUUCGGAUCGUAAAACUCUGUUAUUAGGGAAGAACAAAUGUGUAAGUAACUAUGCACGUCUUGACGGUACCUAAUCAGAAAGCCACGGCUAACUACGUG
rnacentral:rRNA from 1 species